AAAACAUGUUUUAGUUGCUAAGACUGGUUUUCGACCUAAAACUUGUGUUUUCGUCCUUGUAAAAUCUGUCAAACGAAAACCAGUUUUCGCUGAAAACUACUUGAAAACUCACAUUCCACCCAUUCCAAUCGGUGUCUUCACUUGUUUUUUAGAUAUAUUUAUCGAAGUGUAAGUCAUAUUUUAUCAUCUCUAAUAUGCUAGUUGGGAUUUAUUGCUAAUUGGCUGGCCAAAUUAAAAUAUAAAUAAACGAUAAAGGUUGCUAAUAAUAAGAAAAUGAAAGAAAAAUAUUAUGGUUUUGUUUUUUCGUAGCAAAACUGUAAACAAAGGAUGAAAGAAAUGUCAACGAAAACUCUAACAGCCGGUGCGAACAGCUUACAGCACACAAUCCCAAAACUCGUUGUCAAAGUAUUUUCGUUGUCGGUCCGAACAUGGUAUAACACUAUCUUGUGUAAAUUCGCCUUGCUAGUGAUAAAUAUCUGUAAAGAAACAAAGCUACUGUGUGGUGUAUUCAAUAUACAUUUUUUGGUGAAUUCUUUGGACAAUUGUCAAUUGCCCACAGAAAUUAUCAGGAAUUGCGGAAAGAGUUAAUUUUAUCUCUAGCUUAUAGGCAGAGUCAGCAGCAUAUGUGACGAUUUUCGGAAAAUAGUUUUCGUAUCGUUUUUGAUGUUCUUUGGUUUUGUUGACAUCGUCUUCUACCUCUUCAUAGUGAUCUUUUAGCGACUUGAUGUGUUUUCUGCAGCGAUUUAAACUAUAAAUUUUGAUUUCUUUCAAAUUUAUGAUAUAAAUGAAGUGCUUUGUGAUUUGAA